rnacentral:miRNA from 1 species
GCUUGCCCUACCAUCCCGGCGAAGGCCGGGGUCCAGUUACGGAACGACCGUGGUAACUCAUCGGUGUCUCCCAACUGGACCCCGGCCUUCGCCGGGCUGGUAUGGGGUCUUGG